UCUUAUUAAACGUGUGAAGUUUGGGGCAGAUUGGACAUUGCCUUCUUGAGUAACAACAACUUCCUGUUUCAUUGCAUUAGCAUGCUUUAGCACUUAGCUAAGAAUUGCUAGCAUGUUUUAACAUGUUUCUAACAUGUUUAUAACUCAAUGGCAUAUUUAAUAUGUUGCUAGCCAUGACUCUUAUCAAACGUGUGAAGUUUGGGGCAGAUUUGACAUUCCAUGCCUGAGUUACAGCAAAUUCCUAUUUAAUUUUAGUAAUAGCAUGCUUUAGCACUGGGGUAAGUGUUUGCUAGCAUGUUUUAGCAUGUUUCUAGUAUCAUGUUUAGCACUUGCUUGCACUUUUUUAUAUCUUAUUAUGAGUCCACAACAGUGUUAAACAUGUCACUUCCUGUUG